GAUGGACUACAACCUGAAGUUCAACAGUAUUCUCCUGAAACGCUUCCUGCGUAAAGAGAACAUCACACUGAUGAGCUU
rnacentral:tRNA from 1 species